CUCUGCACUAACUGCUUCACGUCUAGCCUCAGGUAUCCUGUAGGGCUUCAGGUUGAUCUUCUUCCCAGGUUCAGUUAUGAUAUCGUGCUUGAUUACGUGCGUUUUUCCUGGUAUUGGGGAAAACACAUCCCUAUUUUUAGACACAAACUUCCUGUUUUUGAUGGGGGGCAAGAGUAUCGACAAUGUGCACUUCCGAACCCUGCUCACCAGUGGCUUGAGUAGGUCUAUCUUUGGUCAUGAUGAGGACCUCUCGUUCUAUCCAUGGCUUCAAUAAAUUUAUAUGAUAGGUCUGUUCUGGCUUCUGUCUGCC